GUGGAUAUGAAAAUCAUUAACCAUAACUGCACAGUGCUCCCAGAUAGUAGUAGUGUCCCGCAGCUGAAAACAGGACAACAUAAAUUCAUUGGAGAAAUACUAAAUCGAAGAGGGAUAACAUUCUUAUUAUCAUGCUUUUUAAUCGAAACAAUAGAGGCUGUGGGACAGCGUCCGGACCGGACCGGAAACGAGUCGCUGGAAUUGAGGGCAAGGGAAGGAAAAGAGCACGGCGCAUCUCCGCGAAAUUUCGAAUUCGGUGCACAGUUUCCCGAUGCUCGUUCUCAAUGGGAAUAGUCACGAGCGGAACGAGAUACGCGAUCGUUGAACGAACUUGACUAAUUGCCGGCUGGAAACUGUUAUUCAACGGAGACCGAGCGGUGCGCCUGACGCACCGCACGAACAAAGGAACCUGCUUUUUCCGCGGUAAUUGGAGGAUCCCUGCUUUGAGAACAUUUAAAAUGCCCAAGGAGUUCAAGCACGGUUCGACCAAGGCAACGCAACACCACCGCGUGUCCAUCGUCAGAGGACAAAAAUUGGUGCAAUUUGGAUGGCACGUUCUACUCCAUCUACCAUAUUCUCCUGAUCUUGCACGCUCAGAUCAUCGCUUAUUUCGCUCGUUAGAAAAAUACUUCAUAUAAUGAGAACUUGCCUUCUUUGGAAGAUUGCAAAAACGAAUUGGUACGUUUCUUUUCCUCGCAAGACUAAGCAAUUCUACGCCGAUGGAAUAAUGAAGUUGUUAUAAUAAUGGCGAAAAGUCAUGGAAAGGAACGAUGCGUACAUUGAAGGAAAAAUCACACGCUUCAGUUUGGCUGUAAAAACGGAACGAAUUAACAAUUAACAUUCCGGAAUUAACAAUUGGAGGUAAAUUAGAAAUAAAAUCGUAUUGAAAACCUAGAUGAAGCGUUAAAAAUGCAGCGUAUAGUUGCAUUCAUGACUGGAGCUUGAAAUGACUUAAUUAUAGCUAGACGAGAGUUAAGGAUACUUCAAAGUUGCUUAUGCCUAGUCACGUUCUUAUCACGCUUGCUGAAGAGCGUUAGACGAACUGGAAAUCACGGUACACGGUUCCGUGGCGAUUAUUCAAAUUGUGCUUCUCGACGAGAUGAAUCACCUGCACUAGAAAUCCACGUGCCACGGACAAAGCGUUAAAACUGUGGAACAGAGGCAAGUGCAAAGAUCGAGCCAAAGCUUUCCGGAGCGAAUUCUUCGACCCUUACGCAAAUUUCUGUUGUUAAACGAACGUGAAGUGAAGAAAUUAUUUCGUGACUACUGGGACUGAUGAUUGUCCAGAUUUUUUCUCUAACGAUAUAGUGGCUAAUUCUUUUCUAUAGAAGAUUUUGGAAUUUUGUGGUCCUUUAUUUUAAUUCUCAUUGCUCUUGGCUAUGAAAGAUUCGUUGUUUCUUUUAUUUCGUAUUUUUCUGAUCUUUCUCACAUAAUUAAUUAUCAAUCGUUAAAUUAAUAUGACUAAUUUUGAAAAUUUAAUUAAUUUGCACUUUGUCUAAUUAUUCUCUGCAAGCUCUCUAGUUUUUAAUUUCUUCAAUGGGCCAUUCAUUGAUUUAGAGUUUUCCAUCUUCUGAUUUCAUAUUAAUUUUUCUUAUUUACAAUUUUCUUAAUUCCUUAUUCCCUAAUGUACAGUUUCCGUAAUUUGCUAGUCUUAAAUUUCUAGUUUUGUUAAUUCGUCAAUUUCGAAUUUCUUUUAUUACUUCCAUGCCGAGUUUCUAAUUUUCCUAAUUUUCUAAUGUCCAAUUUCUAUAACCCUUUAACUUUUCUAAUCUCCUAAUCCUGAAUUUUCUUUAUGUCUGAUUUUCAAUUUCCCUAAUUUUACAUAUCCUAAUUUCCAAUUGCUCUGAUUUCCAUUUUACUUAAUCAUGUAUGUCCCAAUUUCUUCAAUUUUCCAUUUUCUCAUGUCAACCUUCCAGUUUUCCCUUUCUUGAACUUCUAAUCUUCAUUUUCCCUGACUUUCCAUACCCCAAUUUCCAAUUACUCUUAAUUCCAUAUUACCUAACUAUAUAUAUUACCUAACUAUACAAUUUCCCAUUUUCUCAUAUCAAUAUUUUCAGUUUUCCUUUUCCUCAAUUUCUAAUAUUCAUUUUCCCUCAAUUUCCAAUUACUCUGAUUUCCAUAUCACUUAUUUAUAUGUUAUAUGCUGCAAUUCCCAAAUUUUAAUAAUUACCCUUUUAACAUAACAUGCAAUAAAAUCUUUACCAAUUCACUACCGCUAAUAAAAUCUGAAUUAUAAUCACUUACUCAUCAUAGUUUUUCCAGAGCACGAUGGCCACAGAUUGUUGGCGGAGGCCACGGAGACCACGGUCAAGAUCAACGUCAGUUGCCUGGCAUUUCUAUCGAGCAUCAUCUUCUUCAAUUGUUAACUCGCGUCCGGCAGCAGUCAAUUCGGAUUUUCCCGUGUUGCACAACGAAAAUUGAUGCUUGAUACAUCCGCAAGUGAAGAUAGACAAGUUUGAAAUUUCUGAAAGGAUGCCGUGCUCCCCUACAAACGCUGUGAUUAUUUCCAGCUGUCUAAUUGAAUCGUGCACUCCCAAUGCAAAUACGGUCAUGCCAACUCAGACGGACGUUCGUGUCUGUCUACCUGUGGUUCAACGUUAUCCGUAAGUCUCUUACAAUUCAAAUAAAACCAUUAGAUCUGUGCUGUUCGAUACAUGUUGCAGUCAAGAAAUUAAAGAAAAUAAUACAGUGGUAAGAGGAUACUAUUUAAAGCAAACUCAGCAUGCUGUUAAGAGAAUUAGUCGUCGUUCUGUCUGUGAACAGCAGCCUUCCCAUGACAAAUUUCUCAGUAGAACGUCAAUUGUUCGCUUGGUGUCAGGAAAUUAAAGAAAAUAACACAGUGGUAAGAAAUACUGCUUAAAGCAAACUCAGCAUGCUGUUAAGAGAAUUAGUCGUCGUCCUGUCUGUGAACAGCAGCCUUCCUAUGACAAAUUUCUCAGUAGAACGUCAAUUGUUCGCUUGGUGUCAGGAAAUUAAAGAAAAUAAAUAAAGAAAAUAAUACAGUGGUAAGAGAUACUACUUAAAGCACAUUCAGCAUGCUGUUAAGAAAAUUAGUCGCCGUCCUGUCUGUGAACAGCAGCCUUCCCAUGACAAAUUUCUCGAUAGAACGUCAAUUGUUCGCUUGGUGUUCUUAAUGUACUUCGUUAACUUGUUCACAUUUUAUUUUUCCUUUCGUUAAACUCAAACGACUAUCAUAUAUCGUACAUGUAUUUCUAGAGUAUUUUUUCGUCCUAUUCUUCGCAUUGGCGUGUUGUUUUACAUAUUUACGCUUCGAUUUUAACAUUUCUCGAAAGUGUCUAAUUUGGGACUUCUGCUGUUCAUCGACUCAUCCGAUCGAUUCUUUCCAAUCAAAUAUAGUCUGCUGACAACUAUCUUCUCGUGGAUUUGUAUGUAACUUUCUAAAUGUCUCAUGAAUAAUAAUUUUCUAUAUGAAGCUUUAAUGGUCGACUUUUGAUCAGCUGCUGGAAUGCUUAAGUAAUUAUUGAAAGCAUGCGUCUAACAGUUAAUUAGUUCGUAAAACGUUUCGAUAAUGUUUGCGAUGCUUUUAAGCGUUAAUUAUUUGUCGAUGUUGCAAAAUGUGUACGCGUGGACCACACGUGGACCACGCGUGGACCACGCAACGUCUAUCUUUUUCUCUUCUCUCUUUCUUUUUUCUUUUAAACGGAAUAAAGUUUCGAAUAGGUGUAUCGACCGGUUCUAGCGAUCGACGUUGGGAAGCCAGCAGACUGCCAGGCUCCAAAAUCUCGAAUGAAUUAUUCCUCGUGAAGCUGUUUCUCCGAAACGAUUAGGUAUUCCAGUCAUUUGCAUGUCCAGACUUUGGUCUCCAUUAUUUUUUACUUAAUUCCGAAACGAAUCCACGAUUUAUAAUACUCUGAGACAAUUUCUUCCGAAAACCAGUUCACAGCCGUGUCUUCCUUUCUUCCAUCAACAAAAAGACACGAGCGAAUUUUUUCUCGCAAAAUUUCGUAUUCCCUGGAAGAGUUUCAGAGGUAUUUUUCUUCGCUUGAAAAAUCUCACUCUGCGUAGAGGCAAUUUUAAACGCGAGGAGAGAAUUUUGCCGAAUCUUUAUGGGCAAAUCGUUGAGAUAAAUGGCAGUAAGCUAAUGCGCUAUCAAUCAACGUUCUAAGAGUUUCUAUCCGUUUGACAAAAUUUACGAUAUUUUAUAAAUAUAAAUAUGGCUCUUGAUCGAUGAAAGUACGUUGCUCGUUUCAGUUUCGAUUCGCCGGAACAUUCGUGGACCGAAAUGCUGAGAAUUAAUAGCAGUGAAAUAAUUUCCUGUCAUAAUGUUGAAAAUAAAAUAGAAUAAAAUAGAGAUGUUUCGAAUGGAUUGGCUUAGGUGUCCAAAUACUUAUACACGGUUGUAUAUAUUAUACAAAAUAUUCAGAAAUCUCGUUAGCACUGUGGCGAGACACGAGUGUCGCGAUUGUAACAGUAAAGUUUGGAAGCAAUUCGAAGAUGUGUACAGAAUUUACAAGACAUUUAUUAUAAACGUACGGCUAGUAAAAAAUUAUUAGAAAUUACGAAACGUUCGAAUUUUGAAGCAUACAAUUAGCAUGAUCUAAAAUAGACGGUCUCGUUAAAUUAUUAUUUUACUUAUUAAUAUAGCGAAUAAUUAAUCGUUCCAAUAUUUUUUUUUAUAUUUCCCAACUUCUAUGCACGUUUUCAAAUUCGUUAAAAAUUUGUCCGAUAUCGGCUAUAGUCUUGCCUCGUUACAGUGCUAAUGAAGUUUCAGAAUGCUUUGUACAGUAUACGCAUAAAGAGUUCCUAACGGUGUUCGAAUAUUUCCCUCAGCCACAGUAUAUACAUUUUUCGACCGCUUUCAAAUUUUACUACUGCAAUCACGAUAGUCCCUCGUUACAGCGUCGAUGAAGUUUUAAAAUGUUUUGUACAAUGCACACCUGAACGAGUUGCUGAAAGUGUACGAAUGCUUUCGCCGGCCACCGUGUAUACGUUUUUCGACUGGCUUCAUAUUUUACUAUUAUAAUCACGGUAAGCUCUGGUGCCAGUGAAAUUUCAAAAUGUCUCGUAUAGUAUACGCGUAAAGAGUUGCCAACAGCGUCGGAAUAUUUCCGCGAGCCACAGUAUACACGUUUUUAGGUUCGUUUCAAAUUUGACCAUUAUAUAACCAAGAUAGUCAUCUUCCACGACAGUGGCAAGGAAAUUUUUAAUGUUUCGUAUAACGGACAGAAUAUGUUGGUAGAUAAGAUUUCCGUGCCAACAGUUUUGCGAGCUAUCGCGGAUAUUUUAAAUGUUGAACGUGAGGUAGAGCGAGCGGUUUGUUAAACCGAAAGUUAGCACGAAAUGAUUUAUUUCGCCUCGAACGUGCGAAAAGCGACGCUGCUAGCGAAUGCACGGCGCAUCAGGCCCGUGCACUUUGGAAUGCAAAUUCCUCCGCCACUUUGCGCGCCACCGAGAAAAUUUUCUCCCGUGGUACGUGCCCUGAGUUUCGCCUUGUCUACUUCGAUUUAUCUCCCGCGAACGCCUCUAUCGCUUCUCGCUACUCUGUCCUCCGGCUUCUCGGAACAACGAAGAAAAAAUAUAACAGUGGCGUAGAAUUUCAUUUCCUUCCAGUUCCAUUUUCCAGCGCAGCAACCUUUCUCUCGGGAUUCCACGUCAGUUUCAUACGUUGAAAUUUUCGAGAGUCGACGAAGAAUACGGAAGAAUUUAGCAGGAAGAGAGUACAGGCUCAUUGGUUACUUACGUCUCGAUACUAAAUUUUGUAGAGCGAUCAGGAUAAAAUAAAUCUCACGGAGCAAAGGAUUCUCAACGAGUAACUUGGAUAACAAGUGUCGUAAUAUUUUGGAAAAAUUAAAAGGUUUGGGUGAGCUAUGUUUCAAUCUGUUACAGCACCAGCAACAAAAUAUAAACGGUGAAUGUGAGUGAAGGAAGAUUCGAGCAUUCAAGGCAGAAUUUUGGAACGAUGCAAGAUUUUGGAAUUUUAUUCAAGCCCCAUUUAAAAAUACACCAGUGACCUUAAAAUCUAGCGAAAUAUGAGCCGCAGAAAAAUGUCAGGCCGUCGUAUCUGCCCCUCCAAAUUAAAUAAAGGUUUCUCAUAUUUGUUCCCAUCAUCGAUAAUACGAAAUGUCUCAAGUCAGCUGAGACGUCCUGCAUAUAAAAUUACAGAGAAUCUGUAAAUAAAGAAACUUUUAUUCGAAUGACGAGUUAAUAGGUUGAAAGAUCAGGUUCUGUCGUUCAUGAUUCAUGAAACUCUAUUCGCUAAGCUAAUCGCUUUACCACAAGUUUGUGUAUGACGCAACUUGGCGGACCUAGCAAAGGCCAAUCGGAAUUUUUGUGCGAUUUCUCGAGCGAUCCCAAGUUUCCACUAACUUUUCGACGAAACGAACAUAGAAGAGGAAGAAUCAUCAACUGGUUGGCAGUAACGCAAUCGGGUUAUCGAUCAGGUUCUAAAAAUAUCCGAUAGUUAAAUGUGGUUUGCCGUGUUAUAACGGGUUUCGCGGACCACUUGUCCUUGUUUCAAUCAAGAAGUCGUGUUGCUCGUGGAAACGGCCAAAGAGGAAGCUGAUCCAGAGGAAUCCUCAACCUUCCUCUCCCAAACAACAAAUGAGAAGAAACGAUCGCCUGGCCGUAGAUUAAAUCGUGAGACAGGAGGGUUAAUUCGAUGGUGUCUUGCCGGUCCGAGCGGCUACUGUUCCGGACUAUCGAGUCUUCGGAUCGUUCGUUUAAAAUAACGAGGGCAUGGGGUAGAAGCAAUUUCGUUGGAGGACGUCAGCCAGAAAGGGGAGUGGCGACAGCGAAUUCGAUUCGACCGAAUACCAGCUUUAAUCCGGAACAAUCUCGAGCAAACAAACACUGGGAAUUAUGCGACGGAAUGCGAAACGAGAACACGCGUUGUUCGAGCGUCACGCGACAACAGCAACCGGAUAAUUGCUGGAAACGUAGAAACAUCGAAAAUCUCGUUGAUAUCGAUCCUGACCUCCAGUUAUUUUUCCUAUCCCGCUGACGCAAUCUUGAUAAUUUCUGGAUGAAGUAAUCGCCAACGCGUUGGGCAGGUCGGACAUCGUUGCUUUAGGAACCCCAAGGUGUUUCGUCGAGCAGAUAAACAACGAACAGCAAAAGAAUAAAUCGAAAAAAUGAAUGAGAGAGAUCGAGGAGGAUGGCCCUAUUUGCAAAAUACGAAUCAUAUUAGAACGUCAUCAGUGAGCUGUCCUUUUCCACACUUCCAACAGUGUUUAAUUGUACGCGACUGAUCUGUAUGGGAUGAAUCGCGCGACUAGUGGCAAGUGUGAAAGGGGCUUAAGGAUCUCGGCACUGUGCUCGAGCGUAUGUUUGGAAAGUGGAUAGUCUGCGAUUCGAAGUCGCCGAGCCAUGAGGUGUCGAUUACACGACUGUUUACAGAAUGCAUGAGGUAGUUUACGGGUUGCAAGUGACCCAACGUCUUGGCAUUGCCAAACAAGCGGAGACUUUGUCUGAAGGAUCCGACCAUGGAAUGAGGAAUGCAUCGAUGUGUUUUUGCUAAACGGAGUGUAAAGGACUGCAGUUACCUCAGAGCCUCGAAAAAGCAGUUUCUUCUUGAUAAAAAGAUCUAACAAAUAGAUAUAAUAUCUAUCUGAAAACGGAUAAACAGAUAGAAAAAUAUCCAGUACAAAAUGCAUUAAGGCUCGUUUAUACAAAAAUAAAUUUUAAAUCCUCUUUCGUUCUUCGUUGUAACGAGGAAAAUUCUCGAGAGAGGAAACUUGCAAGCGGGCAAUUAACGAGAGAGUCAUACGAGUCACCUGUCACAGGAAAAAAGAAGAGGACGUUCUAAUGAGGUUAGAGGUUAAAUCGAAUGCCACGGGUUACCAGGAGACGUUACUUCAGACAGAAUUAUUGCUUUUAAUAACUACCGAAAGCAAAGACAGAAAAACAAUUUUUCAACAAGACAAUGCUCCCAUCCAUACAGCCACUACGAUCAAAAUUUCGGAAUAGAAUUAUUACCAGGCAUUCAGUCCCGAUCUGAACCCAAUCGAGAAUCUAUGGGGAAUUCUAGUGACAAAAGUUUACGACCAGGAGAAGCCACCUAUGGAAGAUGUAGAUGAACUUAAAAAAGGAAUAAAAUCCGCGCGGAUAUUCAAAACGAAAUUUCAAACAAAUUGAUGGAUAAUGUAACUAAGGGAUUAACGGACGUAAUCAAAGAUAAAGAAGGAUCCACUAAAUAUCGAGUGAAAAGACUUCAAAGGAAGAAAACUCUUGUUCGUUGUACCUUUACAGUUUUGUUUCAUACUAUACUAUGAAAUUAUAUAAACGAUCCUGUCAAUUUUCCUUCUAAUAUUACGAAAUAUGUAAAAAUGUCAUUGAGUUUGUGAUUACUCAUUGCAAUGUACGUGUACAGACAGAUAUCAAAAGUAGCAUAUCCAGCACUAGAUGAAAUAAGCUUUCAUUUCUGUCGUUACGUUCAUAGGGAUAUAAAAACGUGUAAAAAUCUGCAGUCUCUUCCUAACGACUCAGCAGCGGCGGUAAAAAAAGAACGUAAAAAAACGAUGGUUUGUUAUAUUGUUUUUUAUAUCACAGGCGGAUUAAUUGGCGAUGUCGCGAGGAUAUUACGUCGCAGGUAAUUAAUUCAAGUUACAGAUAGCCGGAGACACGAGUCGUGAAUAUGGACAGUCAACCGGGUCUCGUUUAAAAUUAAUAACAACCAGCGUCGGUUAAUAAAUUGGACGUUGACUGGCCUAUCAGAGGUUACUUUAUUAAUUAUUGAAAUAGCCUGUCUUUUCUACCGUUAUCUGCUGCGUAUCAAUCAAAUAUUUACACGGUUAUCUUUGUCUCGUUAAUCAAUUAGCCGUCGACAGAUCGACUUUCUUCUCGUUCGACCGGAUCAAUUACAAACCAACAGAUCCGUGUAAUAUGAUAAAAAGUAAAAAUACGCAGAGUUAGGUAAGAGUCACGUAAUCAUAAAGAUUCGUCGGCGUUGCACAGUCGUCUAUCUUCUCGUUAAAUUGCCAUAUUUAAAAAGCACAUCUUUUAAGCGCUGCUGACCGAUAGCCGCAACUUUCGCCUUAUCGUUGUUGGUUUCUUAAAAGCAGUCAGCUGUUGCUACCUCCUUGAAAACUUUGGAAAGCGUGUGCCUGAAACUUGUGGCAACAAGUAAGUGAUGACGAGUAUACUCGUCGAAUACAAAGCGCGUGUGGUUGUUAUAAUAUAGAAUUAAGUUGCAAUGAAAUGACUGUUUUAUUUUUUACAUUUAUGGUCGACAGUCGUAACACAAAGUGUUAGUAUUCUCCAUGACGAAUAUACUCGUCAACAACAGCUAACUGCUUAAAGCUUGCGGUGCCUGGUAUUUUCGAGCAUUCCUUGUGCUUUGAUCGUCGACGCGGACGAACGUCGAAGUAAAACUAUCGAGUUUCACAUCCCCGAAUCUACAGGACGUGCUGUAACUGCAACUAUCCCGGACUCGCUCGUAGUAUUUUCUCACGUUUCCACUGAUAGUUCCAAAUAUAGUUUACACUUAAACAUAGUAUGCAUUUUAAUUAAUUGGAAUUUCCUUAACUCAGCCAGCCGAGAGAACUGGCAUUUGGUCAGGAAUAGAACACGCUUGUUCCAAGCGAAAACGAAGAGCACAGGGGAAAAGUACGAUGACACUUUGACUAUGUCUCCUUUUAACAAUUUUAAAACAUGGAACGCUAGUGGUAGUAUCGGUCCCAUUUCAAGUAUUAAAUUGAAAUUUACCGUUUGCAAUUAAGUGGGAAAAAAUUAUAAUUAGAAUGAACCCUUUUCGUGAUUACUUUCGAAGCAUCGUUUCAAUUUUGGUCCGCGGUUAUUUACAUAAACAACACCGCAGUGUCUGACACAAGCAUCGUCACACCGACAUCAGCAAUUGCUAGUUGAAACAAACAUCCCUAAGUUUGGUUUCACAUGGCGAACAAGAUUGAUGAAGAUAGGUGUUCCAGGAGUUGGUCGAGUUCAUCAGUCUGGAAAAGAAUGAGACGUAGAGAGAUCGAAUGACACGCGAUCCUCGACGGUUGAGCAGUUGUGCAAUUCGAUCUGAAUUCAAUCGUCCAUGAAACAACAUCAGCUGGCACACGAGAGAAUCGUGAAAUAUUUUUAUUUUCGACUCUUUUAAAUUAAACUUUUGCCAACGUGUUUGUGAGAUUUUCUCGAUUAAAACAAGAUCAAACACGAUAUGUUUUAGAUCACAUUUACAUACAGACAAUGCAUAUUCACAUAUUGGACUUACCAGAGAAAAAAAUCGUGGUCCAGUAACACUGGACAUAAAUCAUUGUUCAAAAUGUAAAUGUAAUGUUAAUUUUGUUAUCUUCCCAUUUGAAAUUUAGCGGCUCUUGACUUUUGUUUACUUGCAUUAAUUCGUCAGUUACACUAUCCAUCAGUUUAUUUGGAGUUUCGUUCCGAAUAUUCAGCCACGCGGAUUUUAUUCCUUUUGUAAGUUCAACUAUAUCUCCACAGGUGGCUUCUCCUGGUCCUAAACUUUUCUCGCUAGAAUUCCCC